AAGUCUUUCCCUGCACAUUAACAGCCCAUCUCUCAUCACUGUAUUCAUGGGGAUUUCUCAUAUAGACUUCUAAGGUCCCUUCUCUUUAUAGUUCCCUCCUCUGCUAUGUUCCACCCCACAGAUUCCAGAUGCUUCAGCUGACUCAAACUAUGAUUUAUACUUCCUAAGCUCAGAUAGAAGGACAAACCAUGAUAAUGGUAGACAUAUUAUUCCAAGCCAUCAUGAUAAGCAACUCAAGGAGUAUUGGUUCCAAUUCCCACAGCUUCUUAAAGAUCAAGAAAGGUCCUCAGGCAUUUCCAUUUUCCUGAAAGAAUUUCCUGAUAUGCUAAGAAAGGAUUGGAUUCUGCAACAGGGCCUCAAAAAAUUGUGGUAUAUUUUAUAUGCUUCCAUUUAAUAAAUUAAUGCUUUUAAAACAAGAACAUA